rnacentral:rRNA from 1 species
GACGAACGCUGGCGGCGUGCCUAAUACAUGCAAGUCGAGCGGAAGUUGAAGAGCUUGCUCUUCAACUUUAGCGGCGGACGGGUGAGUAACACGUGGGCAACCUGCCCUGCAGAUCGGGAUAACUCCGGGAAACCGGUGCUAAUACCGAAUAGUUUUCGCCACCUCCUGGUGGCGUACGGAAAGACGGUUUCGGCUGUCACUGCAGGAUGGGCCCGCGGCGCAUUAGCUAGUUGGUGGGGUAACGGCCCACCAAGGCGACGAUGCGUAGCCGAACUGAGAGGGUGAGCGGCCACACUGGGACUGAGACACGGCCCAGACUCCUGCGGUAGGCAGCAGUAAGGAAUCUUCCGCAAUGGACGAAAGUCUUACGGAGCAACGCCGCGUGAGUGACGAAGGUUUUCGGAUCGUAAAACUCUGUUGUGAGGGAAGAACAAGUACCAACUAACUACUGGUACCUUGACGGUACCUCACCAGAAAGCCACGGCUAACUACGUGCCAGCCGCCGCCGUAACAC